UGCGCCCCUCGGUUUCGCGGCCCAAGUCUCUUGCCGUCUGCCGGCCCCUUUAGCGUUACCGCAAAGCACGUAUUUGUUGCCGUAUUUACUGAGCUAGUGCCUUUGAAAAGAAAAAGAGANGACAACUUUUGACGGUGGAUCUCUUGGCUCGCGCAUCGAUGAAGAACGCAGCCAGCUGCGAUAAGUAGUGUGAAUUGCAGAAUUCAGUGAAUUAUCGAAUCUUUGAACGCAAAUGGCGCUCUUGGGUUCUCCCAGGAGCAUGUCUGUCUGAGUGUCGGAUUGUACNCCAUCGCGGUUGGACCGUUUCCACGGCAGCCGCGGCGUUGAGGCGACACGACGCGUUCCCAGGUUGGUCGUGUCUCUCGAAACCGAGCGUAGCCCCGUUGCCGCAGCGGUCGCGUCCGACUCUGUCCGCCAAAAAGGGGAGGCUUAAGGCUGACCUUUCCCUGGACGGAGGAGGUCCGACGUGGCGAGGGACGGAGGCCAACGAGAGAGAAAGAGAAAGAGAGCAAAGGCAGUGAAAAGGCAUCUUGACCUCAGAUCAGGCAAGG
rnacentral:rRNA from 1 species